rnacentral:rRNA from 1 species
GAGUUUGAUCAUGGCUCAGGAUGAACGCUAGCGGGAGGCCUAACACAUGCAAGCCGAGCGGUAGAGAUUCUUCGGAAUCUUGAGAGCGGCGUACGGGUGCGGAACACGUGUGCAACCUGCCUUUAUCUGGGGGAUAGCCUUUCGAAAGGGAGAUUAAUACCCCAUAAUAUAUUUAUCGGCAUCGAUAGAUAUUGAAAACUCCGGUGGAUAGAGAUGGGCACGCGCAAGAUUAGAUAGUUGGUGAGGUAACGGCUCACCAAGUCUACGAUCUUUAGGGGGCCUGAGAGGGUGAUCCCCCACACUGGUACUGAGACACGGACCAGACUCCUACGGGAGGCAGCAGUGAGGAAUAUUGGACAAUGGGUGAGAGCCUGAUCCAGCCAUCCCGCGUGAAGGACGACGGCCCUAUGGGUUGUAAACUUCUUUUGUAUAGGGAUAAACCUACUCUCGUGAGAGUAGCUGAAGGUACUAUACGAAUAAGCACCGGCUAACUCCGUGCCAGCAGCCGCGGUAAUACGGAGGGUGCAAGCGUUAUCCGGAUUUAUUGGGUUUAAAGGGUCCGUAGGCGGAUCUGUAAGUCAGUGGUGAAAUCUCACAGCUUAACUGUGAAACUGCCAUUGAUACUGCAGGUCUUGAGUGUUAUUGAAGUAGCUGGAAUAAGUAGUGUAGCGGUGAAAUGCAUAGAUAUUACUUAGAACACCAAUUGCGAAGGCAGGUUACUAAGCAACAACUGACGCUGAUGGACGAAAGC